rnacentral:lncRNA from 1 species
UUUUUUUUUUUAAUCAAUAUUUAAGCGUUGGCUUUUCAACACGAAGCAAACUAGUUUUUUUUAUCUUACCACUGAUGAUUUGCUUUUUCUGACAUUUGUAUUUCUUUUAUUGUUGUUCAUAUUUUGAGUGUUUUUGCUUAGAAGGUAAUAUAUGCACAAGAUUUCCCUGAACUGUAUGCUGCAGAUAAUCAUCGAAAAGCUUGUGGAUGUCGUUUAUCUAUGUAGAUUAAGCCAUUGUGGAAUUUUUUGGCAAGCAAAUCUUUUGGAUAGUGAUUGUGGACUCCCGAUUUCAUUUUCUCUUUUCCUAGAAUCUGUAAGAGGCAAGUGAUUGUGGUAUAUAUGCCCCAAUAUGCUGAUCUAAUCUAACAAAUCAAUAGUUGUGUAAGCUUACGGAUUCUCUCACAUGUUUUAUUAUGAUAUAGGAAAAGGGUUAAUUUGCC